AAUGAACGCUGGCGGCGUGGUUUAGGCAUGCAAGUCGAACGAGAAAGUUUCCUUCGGGAAGCGAGUACAGUGGCGACCUGGUUAGUACAAGUUGGGCAACUUGCCCGAAAGUGGGGGAUAGCUCCGAGAGAUCGGAAUUAAUACCGCAUGUGGACCGACUGGCUUCGGCCGGUCUGUCUAAAGCAGCAAUGCGCUUUCGGAUGGGCCCGACCCCCAUUAGCUUGUUGGUGAGGUAACGGCUCACCAAGGCUACGAUGGGUAGCUGGUCUGAGAGGAUGGUCAGCAACACGAGGACUGAGAUACGGCCUCG
rnacentral:rRNA from 1 species